rnacentral:rRNA from 1 species
AUGACGGUACCCCUGGAGGAAGCCCCGGCUAACUMCGUGCCAGCAGCCGCGGUAAGACGUAGGGGGCGAGCGUUGUUCGGAAUUACUGGGCGUAAAGCGUGCGUAGGCGGAUUCGUAAGUCGAGGKUGAAAUAUCCGGGCUCAACUCGGGGCMCGGCCUUGAAACUGCGGACCUUGAGGCGAGUAGAGGGUAAUGGAAUUCCCGGUGUAGCGGUGAAAUGCGUAKAUAUCGGGAGGAACACCAGUGGCGAAGGCGGUUACCUGGACUCGUUCUGACGCUGAGGCACGAAAGCUGGGGGAGCAAACGGGAUUAGAUACCCCGGUAGUCCCAGCCGUAAACG